GGCAAUUUUACAGUACAGGGGAUCGUGCCAGAGCUACUCGGAGAAUUCAGCACAAUUUUUAGACCCUUAAGAAUAUGCCCUUAAAAGGAUUUUUCAAAACUCGAAUUAUUUGCGGACAUCCAGAAGAUUUCUUGACGCGUCAUCGCAACGAAGCUCGAAGUGAUCGCUCUGAAUUGCGAGCUUCUGCUGCUUCAAAAGAAGGCAGAACAGCUCAGCUAGCAAAAAGAAAUUCUGCAAACAUCCCAUAUGAAGUAGAGGAAGGCCUAAUGUAUGGAGCUAGGAUCGUCGAUUAGUCUAAAAUCACUAAAAGGGGUGGAAUCAUGUCAACCAGGGUGCACCGUUUUUUUUGAAGCCCCCACGUCACCGGCCUGUAAUUUCGCGAA